AUUGAACGCUGGCGGCAUGCCUUACACAUGCAAGUCGAACGGCAGCGCGGACUUCGGUCUGGCGGCGAGUGGCGAACGGGUGAGUAAUGUAUCGGAACGUACCUUUCAGUGGGGGAUAACGUAGCGAAAGUUACGCUGAUACCGCAUAUUCUGUGAGCAGGAAAGCAGGGGAUCGCAAGACCUUGCGCUGAUUGAGCGGCCGAUAUCAGAUUAGCUAGUUGGUGAGGUAAAGGCUCACCAAGGCGACGAUCAGUAGCGGGUCUGAGAGGAUGAUCCGCCACACUGGAACUGAGACACGGUCCAGACUCCUACGGGAGGCAGCAGUGGGGAAUUUUGGACAAUGGGGGCAACCCUGAUCCAGCCAUGCCGCGUGAGUGAAGAAGGCCUUCGGGUUGUAAAGCUCUUUCGGCCGGGAAGAAAUCGUACGGGUUAAUACCCUGUGCGGAUGACGGUACCGGCAUAAGAAGCACCGGCUAACUACGUGCCAGCCGCCGCAGUAA
rnacentral:rRNA from 1 species